UACGUAGGUGGCAAGCGAUACUCGGAAUCACUAGGCGUAAAGCGCAGGUAGGCGGCUCGAUAAGUCUCUUGUGAAAGCUCCCGGCUCAACUGGGAGAGGUCAAGGGAAACUGUUGGGCUAGAGUGUGGUAGAGGAAACUGGAAUUCCCGGUGUAGCGGUGAAAUGCGUAGAUAUCGGGAGGAAUACCUAUGGCGAAAGCAGGUUUCUGGGCCAUCACUGACGCUGAGCUGCGAAAGCUAGGGGAGCAAACAGG
rnacentral:rRNA from 1 species